UGAGAGGCUGGAGUUUAGUAGAUAACACUAAUCCUUGCUUUAUCAUAUGGGAAACUCCGAUUUAGUGCUCAGCAUGACCAGGUGGUGUCACCUGCGUGGUACGUCAGCGGGCUUAUCUGUCUCUCUCGACCAGUCUUGCUGUCUGGCCACAGCGUUGAGGAUUAGCGGACUGCGGCCACCACCGUGACUAAACAGUUACACGUGGAUGUGACAGCGAGUGUGGUGGCCACUGCCGAGGAUAGUGAGUCUAGAUGUUGGGCUGAUGUAGAGGAUCUCAGACUACCUGUGAAGGAAUCUUGUGUGACUAAUCAGAAGAAACUCAAGAGUUUAGAUGCCAAGUAAGUA
rnacentral:lncRNA from 1 species